UAGCGGAGGAAAAGAAACCAACAGGGAUUGCCCCAGUAACGGCGAGUGAAGCGGCAACAGCUCAAAUUUGAAAUCUGGCUUCGGCCCGAGUUGUAAUUUGUAGAGGAUGCUUUUGGUGAGGUGCCUUCUGAGUUCCCUGGAACGGGACGCCAGAGAGGGUGAGAGCCCCGUAUAGUUGGACACCGAGCCUCUGUAAAGCUCCUUCGACGAGUCGAGUAGUUUGGGAAUGCUGCUCAAAAUGGGAGGUAUAUCUCUUCUAAAGCUAAAUACUGGCCAGAGACCGAUAGCGCACAAGUAGAGUGAUCGAAAGAUGAAAAGCACUUUGAAAAGAGGGUUAAAUAGUACGUGAAAUUGUUGAAAGGGAAGCGCUUGUGACCAGACUUGUGCCGGGCUGAUCAUCCAGUGUUCUCACUGGUGCACUCUGCCCGGCUCAGGCCAGCGUCGGUUCUCGCAGGGGGACAAAAGCUUCGGGAACGUAGCUCUCUUCGGGGAGUGUUAUAGCCCGUUGCUCAAUACCCUUGUGGGGACCGAGGUUCGCGCUCUGCAAGACGCUGCAUAGCCGAGACGU
rnacentral:rRNA from 1 species